rnacentral:rRNA from 1 species
UACGAAGGGGGCUAGCGUUGUUCGGAUUUACUGGGCGUAAAGCGCACGUAGGCGGAUCGUUAAGUCGGGGGGUGAAAUCCUGGAGCUCAACUCCAGAACUGCCUUCGAUACUGGCGAUCUAGAGUCCGGAAGAGGUGAGUGGAACUCCUAGUGUAGAGGUGGAAUUCGUAGAUAUUAGGAAGAACACCAGUGGCGAAGGCGACUCACUGGUCCGGUACUGACGCUGAGGUGCGAAAGCGUGGGGAGCAAACAGG